AACGAACGCUGGCGGCAUGCCUAACACAUGCAAGUCGAACGAGACCUUCGGGUCUAGUGGCGCACGGGUGCGUAACGCGUGGGAACCUGCCCUUAGGUUCGGCAUAACUCCCCGACAGGGGUGCUAAUACCGGAUAAUGUCUUCGGACCAAAGAUUUAUCGCCUUUGGAUGGGCCCGCGUUGGAUUAGCUCGUUGGUAGGGUAAAAGCCUACCAAGGCGACGAUCCAUAGCUGGUCUGAGAGGAUGAUCAGCCACACUGGGACUGAGACACGGCCCAGACUCCUACGGGAGGCAGCAGUGGGGAAUAUUGGACAAUGGGCGAAAGCCUGAUCCAGCAAUGCCGCGUGAGUGAUGAAGGCCUUAGGGUUGUAAAGCUCUUUUACCCGGGAUGAUAAUGACAGUACCGGGAGAAUAAGCUCCGGCUAACUCCGUG
rnacentral:rRNA from 1 species